UCCUCUCGAUGGCCCUUCGGGGUAAAAACCAGGUUAACAUCGGCAAUUCCCACCCAUUGGUGGAGCUUGUCAGUACUAAAGUCCGAGGAGGAGGAGAUGCUGAAGGGUUGGACCCCGGACGUGAGAUUGCUCCUCAUUGUAGAGGCGAAGAAGAAGGGGUACGUGCCACUGCGGGCUAGCUUCCUUGUUAACAUCUUGGACUUUGGCGGAAGCUUUUCCCAUGAUUUUUUGUUGGUUCUCGAAUUACUGGCGGGGAUAGAGCAUUCACCUGAAGUGGAAGGAACUCGAUAUUAGCUUUCUGUUUGCAUCUGCCGAUUCAAAGUGCUUGUUCCCAUGCGCGCAAUCUUCUCAUUUCUGAGCAUAUCGUGAUGCACAUCGAAAUCUACGGUGGAAACGGAUUUAUUGCGCCUCAACCCUUCCAUUCCAGCAUUCUACUCACCAUCCAAGACUAAGGAAUGGUUUAGUCGGUUUGAGUACAGACACAAAUGAAGACGUUUCACUGACUGGAUAGCACUCAAUGAAAUCUUUGCCCAAAGUUCGUUUCGAUAACUGUUCAUAUCCUGCUUUGUGGAAUCAAAGAUGCAUAGCCCUGGAUUCUAGAGUCGCUGGUUGGCAAAGUUUAAAGGGUGUAGAGCUUUCAUUUGGAAGGGAGAUCCGGAUGCUAAAGAGGGAGCAAAAGUUAGAUGGGGAACUGUCUGUCCUCCUAAGCAGUUUGGAGGCCUUAGCAUUCGAAGACUGGAUUUGUGAAAUCUGGCUUGUAUUUUAAAGUGUCUGUGGAGUAUUUUGUUGAGGCCAAAGUAUCUGCUGUUAUUCGUAACUCUCAUUGGAAGUGGCCCGCUGCUAGGUCUAGAGAGUUGGUUUCCAUCCAAGCUGCUGUUUGUGGUGUGAAUUUUCGUAAUUCCUCAGCUGCAGAGAGUGUUGUAUGCACAGCUUCUUCAACUGGUUGCCUUAACUCUUUUGUUGCUUGGGAAAUUGUCAGAAACAAGAAUGCUGAUGUUGACUGGUACAGACUUUGUGGUUCUCCCCUAAUGUGCCAAGAUUUGGCUUUAAUUCUUGGUUAAUAAUGCAUGAUAAAAUCCCUACUUUUGAGAGGAUUAACAGUUGGUCUGUUGGGAGAACAAGAUCUCUCUACAUGUUUUGUAAUCUAAGUAUUGAAUCUCGCUCUCAUCUAAUUUUUCAAGCGUAGUUUCUCUAGUGAAGUACAGAGGAAGGUCUUAAUUCUGUCAAGCUAAUCACUGAAUCUCGCUGUCAUUUAGUUCUUGAUGUUUAAUGUAUUCAACAUUAUCAAGUUCUCCGUUAA